GUUGGGAAUAUUGGGCAAUGGGCGCAAGCCUGACCCAGCGACACCGCGUGGGGGACGAAGGCCUCCGGGUUGUAAACCCCUGUCAUGAGGGACGAAGCCGAAAGGUGACGGUACCUCAAGAGGAAGCCCCGGCUAACUACGUGCCAGCAGCCGCGGUAAGACGUAGGGGGCGAGCGUUGUCCGGAUUUACUGGGCGUAAAGCGCGUGUAGGCGGUCUGCUAAGUCCCGUGUUAAAGCCUCCGGCUCAACCGGAGAACGCCGCGGGAUACUGGCGGGCUUGAGGUAGGUAGAGGAUGAUGGAAUUCCCGGUGUAGCGGUGAAAUGCGUAGAUAUCGGGAGGAACGCCAGUGGCGAAGGCGGUCAUCUGGGCCUUACCUGACGCUGAGACGCGAAAGCUGGGGGAGCGAACGGGAUUAGAUACCCUGGUAGUCC
rnacentral:rRNA from 1 species